rnacentral:lncRNA from 1 species
CCUAGAUAGGCUUUGGUUCAAUUUGCACAGAAAGGUAGAAAGCUGCACGCCUUUACUUUAUUCUCCUGGAAUGGUCUGAGGAGAAAAUAGAGACGUCCCUCCUUUAAAAAGCCCCCACGGUGCAGUGUUUUUCUUGUUAAGUACUCCCAGCUUAAUGUGCUGACACUAUUAGCCUGGACUAAACGGGCUAGAUCUGGAUGCUCCACGAGAUCAAGUUCAAAGUGGGUCAGAGGGCUGACAAAAUAUGAAUUUCGCCUUCCCAGCACAGACCUUCUCCUGGGACCAUCCUUCCUCCUGGCACACGAAGGCGAGCUCUUGUAUGAGACAGCCUAUUAGGGUUCUCCUCCGCCAGAGGCCCAGGAGAGAAUGAAGACCCCCUGGGAGCUUGUUAAAUUUACUGACUUCAUCGACAAUGUAUUGGCAAAUGUUUUGUAAAACACUACAAUCUACAGUCCCCCAAACACUGAAAGUUUAUGAGUAUGGAGUAUUUAGGAAUCUUAUUCCAGAAUUCCCAUUGCGGCUCAGCAGGUU